AGCAGAAGGAAUCCUGGGUGUGGGCGGCGCCAGGGCUUUAAGGCCGAAGCCAGCAGCAGGGAGCAGCAAGCAGACCUUCAUUUGUAAGUGGAGUGUUUGCUUGCUAAUAUCUAUAUUUUAUUUUAUGGCUACUACUGCAAGGGGGGUUUAGCAAAGGGCUGACAAGGGGUUAAGUAGAGGGAUGACAUAAGAUUUGUAAAGGGGGCGGGGGUUUUGUAGAGGGGGAAGAGGUUUC